GCGCUCUUAGUUCAGUUUAGUAGAACACGGGUCUCUAAAACCCAAUGUCGUAGGUUCAAAUCCUACAUAACGUG
rfam:Sorghum bicolor cultivar BTx623 chromosome 1, whole genome shotgun sequence.